AAAUAGCCAAUGUGAACCAGUCUUUGACCACUCCUACUUUUCUCAACGGCGUUCCACCACCGGCCCGCCCACUUUCUUCACAUUUACUGAUUUAACAGUGUUUGUGAUCACUGGCUGCUCCGAACUUUCAAGAGGAUCUUAAAUAUCAUCAAGGACAUGAACGCCAAUAAGAAGUUGUACGGGAAGGACCUGAGCGAGUAUGAGAACAUGGACCUGGACGAGCUGUUGGACCAGCUCACACCGGAGGAGGUGGACAUCCUUACCAGGGACGUCGAUCCGGACGAUGACCUGAUGCCGCCCAGCCAGCGGACCUCGUACCGCUGUGAGAAGGAUCCCACCGGCCCGCUCAACAGGAAGCGGCUCAUUGAACACAUUCAGCAGCAGGCUCUGAACGAGCCCGACCGGCCCGAGAUGGUGCCCUACCAGCAGGGCGUGGUCAGAGGCAAAAAGUGGAUCCCGCCGCCGCCGCCGCUGGCCGAACAGCGCCUGGAAGAGGAGAUCGCCCUCGACCUCGGCGACGAGUACGAAUCGGCCCUGGGCGAGGCCAACGAAAACGAACUGGUCGACCUGGCAGCGAUCCUGGGCUUCCACUCGAUGAUGAACCAGGACCAGUACCACGCCUCGCUGCUCGGAAAGCGGAUCGAAUCGGACGUCGGAUGGGCGGGCAUCACGCGCGCCACCCGGCCCAAGCCGAUGGCGCCCGAGCCGCCCAACAUGACCGACCCGGAGCAGUCCAUCGAGCGGCUGCGCCAGGACGACCCUGACCUGCAGAUGCUCAACCUCAACAAUAUCAAGAACAUGUCUGAUGAGCAGAUUGAGCGGCUGUGCGACGCGGCUGCGUCCAACACCCGUCUGGAGAACCUCUACAUGUCCAACACGGGCCUGAGUGACCGGCACGGGGAGCACCUGGUGGCGCUCAUCGAGAAAAACAAUACCAUCAAGGAGAUCAGUAUCGAGUCCAACUUCAUCAGUCCUGCUAUGAUUGCGCGGCUAGUAAAGGCGUUGCUCAAGAAUAAAACUGUUGAGGCCUUCCGAGCUGCCAACCAGCGAUCUCAGGUGCUGGGUAAUAAGAUCGAGAUGGAGAUCACCAAGUACGUGGAGGACAACCCCACCAUCCUGCAGAUGGGUCUGCACUUUGAGUUCAACGACGCCCGGGCGCGCGUCUCGGCGCAGCUACAGAAGAACCGCGACAGGUUUCGGAAGUGCGACUGAGGCGCAUCGGCAGGGCCUGUCGCAACUCCACUGCCGGCUUCGUCCGGCGCCAGCUGCCGGUGUAGACGGCGGCGUCCAGCGCCGGCGCCCCGGGCGUCCGUGGGGCGCUCCCAGUCCGGCGCCCCGGGCAUCAGCGGCGAGCACCUUAUGUAGUGGCUCCUCCUCUCGCUUGGCUUCUCUCCGCGGCGGUGGCGACCGGCCACCGGGCCGGCCGGCCGCCCGUGUCGAGAGCGCGCGCUCGCGCCGCCCGCCGGCCGCUUUCCUUGUACGAUGCGCCGCCGUCGGGCGAUGUGACUUGAUGUUUUUACUUUUUACACAUACUUUGCCGGGUGGUAUAGCUGACGUGGGCCUUGUUUGGAUGCGCGGACUCCCGGGCAGAGGCCCCAUUUUACAGAGGACUCCGAUGACACGUAGUCGCCGAUGCAGCCUCAUAUUUUGUUUGCGAAAUGAAAGUUUAGGACCUAGGUGCUUGUCCGAGUGGAAUGGUAUUUAUGGAUUUAUUUGUAUCAAAUAAAAUGUGCAAAAUUGAA
rnacentral:misc_RNA from 1 species